rnacentral:rRNA from 1 species
UACGGGGGGAGCAAGCGUUGUUCGGAUUUACUGGGCGUAAAGGGCGCGUAGGCGGUCGUGACAAGUCACUUGUGGAAUCUCCGGGCUUAACUCGGAACGGUCAAGUGAUACUGUCGGACUAGAGUACAGAAGGGGCAACUGGAAUUCUCGGUGUAGCGGUGAAAUGCGUAGAUAUCGAGAGGAACACCUGCGGCGAAGGCGGGUUGCUGGGCUGAUACUGACGCUGAGGCGCGAAAGCCAGGGGAGCGAACGGG